GACGAACGCUGGCGGCGUGCUUAACACAUGCAAGUCGAACGGUGAAGGGACUGGUUUUGCUGGUCCUGGAUGAGUGGCGAACGGGUGAGUAACACGUGAGUAACCUGCCCCCUUCUUCUGGAUAACCGCAUGAAAGUGUGGCUAAUACGGGAUAUUCUGGGUCUGUCGCAUGGUGGGCCUGGGAAAGAUUGCGCCUUUUUUGGUGUUUUUGGUGGGGGAUGGGCUCGCGGCCUAUCAGCUUGUUGGUGGGGUGAUGGCCUACCAAGGCGGUGACGGGUAGCCGGCCUGAGAGGGUGGACGGUCACACUGGGACUGAGACACGGCCCAGACUCCUACGGGAGGCAGCAGUGGGGAAUAUUGCACAAUGGGCGCAAGCCUGAUGCAGCGACGCCGCGUGAGGGAUGGAGGCCUUCGGGUUGUGAACCUCUUUCGCCAGUGAAGUAGGCCUGCCUCUUUUUGUGGGUGGGUUGACGGUAGCUGGAUAAGAAGCGCCGGCUAACUACGUG
rnacentral:rRNA from 1 species